rnacentral:rRNA from 1 species
UACGUAGGGGGGCAAGCGUUUGUCCGGAUUUAUUGGGCGUUAAAGAGCGUGUAGGCGGCUAGGUAGGUCCGUUGUGAAAACUCGAGGCUCAACCUCGAGACGUCGAUGGAAACCAUCUAGCUAGAGUCCGGAAGAGGAGAGUGGAAUUCCUGGUGUAGCGGUGAAAUGCGCAGAUAUCAGGAAGAACACCCGUGGCGAAGGCGGCUCUCUAGUACGGUACUGACGCUGAGACGCGAAAGCGUGGGGAGCGAACAGGG